rnacentral:tRNA from 2 species
GGGCCGGUAGCUCAGUUCGGCAGAGCGUCUGGCUUUUAACCAGAUGGCCGGGGGUUCAAGUCCCUCCCGGCCCG